rnacentral:rRNA from 1 species
UACGGGGGGAGCAAGCGUUGUUCGGAUUUACUGGGCGUAAAGGGCGCGUAGGCGGCCAGCGCAAGUCAGUUGUGAAAUCUCCGGGCUUAACUCGGAACGGUCAAGUGAUACUGUCGCGCUAGAGUGCGGAAGGGGCAAUCAGAAUUCUUGGUGUAGCGGUGAAAUGCGUAGAUAUCAAGAGGAAUACCUGAGGUGAAGACGGGUUGCUGGGCCGACACUGACGCUGAGGCGCGAAAGCUAGGGGAGCGAACGGG